rnacentral:rRNA from 1 species
GAUGAACGCUGGCGGCGUGCCUAACACAUGCAAGUCGAACGGAGAAGCGCCUAGCUUUUUGGUCGGUGGGGAUGAGUGGCCAACGGGUGAGUAACUCGUGAGCAACCUUCCCCCUCCUGCUUGAUAACCGCAUGAAAGUGUGGCUAAUACGGGAUAUUCUGGGUCUGUCGCAUGAUGGGUCUGGGAACGAUUUUGUGUCGGUGGGGGAUGGGCUCGCGGCUUAUCAGCUUGUUGGUGGGGUGAUGGCCUACCAAGGCGGUGACGAGUCGCCGGCCUGGGAGGGUCGACGGCCACGCUGGUACUAAGACACGGCGCAGCCUACUAGAGGCAGCAGCAGUGGGGAUUCUGGCACAAGCGGCGAACUCAUGAUGCAACGACGCGGCAGGAGGGAUGGACGCCGUCGCGUUAUGAACCUCUUUUGAAGGUGAAGCAAGGCUGCCUUGUUUGUGAGUGGGUUGACGGUAGCUGAAAAAGAAGCGCCGGCUAACUACGUG